rnacentral:rRNA from 1 species
CAGCCGCCGCGGUAAUACGUAGGGUGCAAGCGUUAAUCGGAAUUACUGGGCGUAAAGCGUGCGUAGGCGGCUUUUUAAGUCGGAUGUGAAAUCCCUGAGCUUAACUUAGGAAUUGCAUUCGAUACUGGGAAGCUAGAGUAUGGGAGAGGAUGGUAGAAUUCCAGGUGUAGCGGUGAAAUGCGUAGAGAUCUGGAGGAAUACCGAUGGCGAAGGCAGCCAUCUGGCCUAAUACUGACGCUGAGGUACGAAAGCAUGGGGAGCAAACAGGAUUAGAUACCCCUGUAGUCCCUGUCUCUUAUAC